rnacentral:lncRNA from 1 species
AAGUUUUAAAAUGGAUCAACCCUGGUGUGUAGCUAGCAAGCAAUAACUGACUACUCGUCACCUACAGUUGUACUAAAUGUAUCUAAAGAAACACACAGUCCUACAAAAGUUGUUCUCAGAGAAAUAUCAUUGAGGUGGGGGCACCUCUUCCCAGGAUGCUAAAAGUUCUAUAUGAUAUAAGCACAAAUUAACAGCUCAUCAACUUUUUUCAGUCCAUGCAACUUCAAUGCCCUCGAUGAAGAAUGCAUAAUAAGCCAUACUUCUUGAAAAAAAAAAAAAAAAGACUUCCUUCUGCAUAAAAAGAUAUAUUUGCCACAUCAGUCCCUGUAGCAGUUUUCAAAACCAUUCUGUCAAAAAUACAGUAAUACAAGACCGGCUUUAGUGUCACCAGCUCACACUGUCUUCUGUGUACAUAGGCCACCAUUUAUUACCGGUACUGAUCAUGCAAUAAAAGUUAUCAGAGGCUGGGGCUGGCGUGCUGGUAGGCUAGUGCCACUGAAGCCUUUUCACAAUCUCAACAUACAUUUGAAUUGCAACACACAGAUAUUUCUAAAGAGUCUUAACUAGUCAUUGUGCAGGGUCAAAGGGCAAAAAUCAGUGGUCCAUGUUACCCCCCAACUGCAGUGCUCCACCCCACCCACACAAUUUCAUAAGGAAUUAGAAAAAA